rnacentral:rRNA from 1 species
UACGGAGGGUGCGAGCGUUAUCCGGAUUUAUUGGGUUUAAAGGGUGCGUAGGCGGCUUAUUAAGUCAGGGGUGAAAGACGGUGGCUCAACCAUCGCAGUGCCCUUGAUACUGAUGAGCUUGAAUACACUUGAGGUAGGCGGAAUGUGACAAGUAGCGGUGAAAUGCAUAGAUAUGUCACAGAACACCAAUUGCGAAGGCAGCUUACUAAGGUGCAAUUGACGCUGAGGCACGAAAGCGUGGGGAUCAAACAGG